UACGUAGGGGGCGAGCGUUGUCCGAAGUUACUGGGCGUAAAGCGCGCGUAGGCGGUCAUUUAAGUUCGGGGUGAAAGGUUCAGCGCUCAACGCGAACAGUGCCUUGAAUACUGGGUGACUUGAGUUCGGGAGAGGGCAGUGGAAUUCCUGGUGUAGCGGUGAAAUGCGUAGAUAUCUGGAGGAAUACCGGUGGCGAAGGCGGCAUCCUGGACCGGCAUUGACGCUGAGUGAGCGAAAGCCAGGGGAGCAAACGGG
rnacentral:rRNA from 1 species